rnacentral:ncRNA from 1 species
AAUUUAGUUAAUUCUUACAAUAACCAUAUAACAUAGGUAGUGAAAUUAUUUCUAUUUUUACAUGUGAAGACCCUAAAGCACUAAGUGGAGCAUUGUGCUAGAGUUAAUGAGGUUAAUUGCACUCAUUUCACAUGCUAGGUUUCACAAGGUUACAUUCAAAAUCCUGCAAACUAGGCUUCAGCAGUAUGUGAACUGAGAAUUUCCAGUGUACAAGCUGGGUUUUGAAGAGGCAGAAGAACCAGAGAUCAAAUUGCCAAUGUUUGUUGGAUCAUGAUGAAAGUAAGGGAGUUCCAGAAAAACAUCUGCUUCAUUGACUACACUAAAGCCUUUGGCUGGGUGGAUCACAACAAGCUGUGGAAAAUUCUGUAAAGAAAUGAUAAUACCAGACCACUUUACUUAUCUCCUGAGAAACCUGUAUGCCACUCAAGAUGCAACAGCGAGAGUCUUUGACAAAAUUCAACACCCAUUUAUGAUAAAAACUCUCCAGAAAGCCGGCAUAGAAGGAACAUACCUCAACAUAAUAAGAGCCAUAUAUGAAUAGGACCGUGGUUCUGUUUUGUUGGUUUUUGGAACUGAGGCCAUGAUUAAGAGGGAUGGCCAGGGGCAUUCAUAUUGCACCACUAGAGGUGAAAUUCUUGGACCAGUGCAAGACGGACCAAAGUGAAAGCAUUUGCCAAGAAUGUUUUCAUUAAUCAAGAAUGAAAGUCGGAGGUUCGAAGACGAUCAGAUACCAUCGUAGUGCCGACCAUAAACGAUGCCGACUGGUGAUGCAGUGGUGUUAUUCCCAUGACCCGCCAGGCAGCUUCUGGGAAACCAAAGUCUUUGGGUUCCGGGGGGAGUAUGGUUGCAAAGCUGAAACUUGAAGGAAAUGAUGGAAGGGCACCACCAGGUGUGGAGCCUGCCGCUUAAUUUGACUCAACACGGGAAACCUCACCUGGCCCAGACAUGGACAGGAUUGACAGAUUGAUAGCUCUUUCUCAGUUCUGUGGGUGGUGGUGCAUGGCCAUUAUUAGUUGGUGGAGCGAUUUUUCUGGUUAAUUCCGAUAACAGUCGAGAUUCUGGCAUGCUAACUAGUUAUGUGACCCCCAAGUGGUCGGCAUCCCCCAACUUCUUAGAGGGACAAGUGGCGUUCAGCCACCCACGAUUGAGCAAUAACAGAUGCCCUUGAGCAAUCUAAGAUGCCCUUAGAUGUCCGGGGCUGCAUGCGUGCUACACUGACUGGCUCACCGUGUGCCUACCCUACGCCAGCAGGCGCGGGUAACCCGUUGAACCCCAUUCGUGAUGGGGAUCAAGGAUUGCAAUUAUUCCCCAUGAACGAGGAAUUCCCAGUAAGUGUGGGUCAGGUGAUGGCACCUCACUCCAGUACUCCUGCCUGGAAUAUCCCACGGACAGAGGAGCUUGGUAGGCUGCAGUCCAUUGGGUCACAA